GUACUCACUUUGGCAGUACAUAUACUAAAAAUUGGAACAACGGAGAAGAGUAGCAUGGCCCCUGUGCAAGGAUGACAUGCAAAUUUGUGAAACGUUCCAUAUUUUU